GACGAACGCUGGCGGCGCGCUUAACACAUGCAAGUCGAACGGAAAGGCCUGCUUUCCCUUGUGGAUUGCGGGUACUCGAGUGGCGAACGGGUGAGUAACACGUGAGUGAUCUGCCCCCAACUUGGGUAUAAGCCUGGGAAACUGGGUCUAAUUCCCGAUAGGACUGCAGGGUGGUGCCUGUGGUGGAAAACGAUUUUCUAGUGGUUGGGGAUGAGCUCGCGGCCUAUCAGCUUGUUGGUGGGGUAAUGGCCUACCAAGGCGGCGACGGGUAGCCGGCCUGAGAGGGGGGACGGCCACAUUGGGACUGGGAUACGGCCCAGACGCCUACGGGAGGCAGCAGUGGGGAAUAUUGCACAAUGGGCGGAAGCCUGAUGCAGCGACGCCGCGUGGGGGAUGACGGCCUUCGGGUUGUAAACUCCUUUCGACCGCGAGGAAGCCACCUGGUUGGAAGGGUGGUGACGGUAGUGGUAGAAGAAGCACCGGCUAACUACGUG
rnacentral:rRNA from 1 species